AUGAUAGUUCAUAGUAAUAAUUGGGUAAUUGUUGUGGAAACUUUGUCAAACUUUAGCAUCUUUACAGGGACACAUGAUGAUACAGAGGAAGAUCAUGUUUACAGCAACUUUGGUCCAAAUGCAGCCACAGUGUUGAAAACAAACAUCUACGGAAAUGAUGACAAUUCAUAAAGAGAAGUUGAUCACCAACAAAACAAGAACCACAUCAUGACAACGUUUUGUUAACAACAUGCUGAGAAUGUGUUACCAGCAAAGAAAUAUCCACUUUCAGGAUGAAUAUCUCUGAUCCCACAGUAGCUUAAAAAUUAAAUCAUAUGACAAAUAGUGAACAUUAAAUCAGCAAAAUAUGGUUUUGAUGAAGCAGGUAAAAGUUAUAAUGGUUCUAAUGCUGAUUGGUAAUGUUUUCCGACUACUAUAGCACCUAAAAAAGCAAUAAAAGUGAUCAAUAUAUCCAAAUAUUGCUUAUUUACACCUAUCAAGUACAUAUCUAACUGUACAGAAGUGUCCAACUAGUCCAAACAUGUCACUGUACAGCCACUAGUAAGGGCCAAGUGACCGUGCUUCCAUAUGCAGGGCUGUAAUCUGCAUGUAAUUGAGCUAAACACACCAAUAUGAGCUUGACAACACUGCCUGACAGUCAGAAUUGGCCAGACGCCGAUGCAAUGUAAUGCAACUUUACAAUGUGGAAAACACAAGACCACAUGUCAGGCCAAUAAAAUGCUUUAGAAAGGCUCUAUUUGACAGCGAGAAAUGUGCAGAUUGAUUGAAUGAUCACCUAGGAUGUACGAAAUACAGAAAAUGGACUUGGUCCACUAGUACUAUAACUUUACAUCAACUAAAAGUGAAAACUGGCCAAACAUAGCAUUUAGCUUAGCAUACAUAGCAUUUAGCUUAGCAUUGUCAUAUCUCACCAACCUUACUGUCUAGCAUGCUUUGGUGCCGACUCUUAGAUUUGUUAGAAUUUUUUAUUUUUAUUGGGAAUGUGUUUGAUGCAUGCGAAAUAUAUUAAUAAAGCAAUAAAGCUGUACUGUUUAAUUUGAUAAUAAGUAUGUAUAAAGUCAUUCACAGUCAGUCCUUCAAACCCCAAGGUCCUCUCUUUACAGUAGGGGACCUUGGGGUUUGUUAUUAAUAUGGUUGCUGCUGGGUUCCAGGUGCUGUGUUGACCCUUGACCCCAACAGGUGUAGGCAUUAUAUUGGUGAGUCUGUGACCUUCACGUGCGACGUGAAGUGCAAAGAGAGCAAAGAUACCAGACGCUCAGUAAAAAGAUGUAUUGAAAUCAACUGGACUCAGAACCAACAUCAGUUCAUCAUCCACAGCAGAACCACACACUUUAACGGCACAUUUAAAUUUAAUACGUCUGAUGAUCCUGAAGGUUCACUGAGAGCAGCAUUGGCAGGUUAAUGUACAGUUGGUUCUGAUCAUCAAAGCAUGUAGGAUCAAACUGUUCCUGGUUCUGGUUGUCUACAGUAGCUCUGAUCCAAAGAGACACAUUGGACCAGGUGGUGUUUUGAACCUGCAGUGAUUCUGGACUUGUAUGAUUCUGUCAUAGGAAGUUCAUAAUACGCUGACGUCUCUUCCAUGUUGAUCUGACUGCUCCAAGGACAGAAGUGAUGAUGAUGAUGAAGACUGGCUUAUCCUAAUGUGUAGUUAACAGUGAGCUCAUGAAAGACUGCAG